AGGCUGGGGGUCUGAGAUCCAGGCAGGGCUGAGGCUGGGGGUCUGAGAUCCAGGCAGGGCGGAGGCUGGGGGUCUGAGAUCCAGACAGGGCUGAGGCUGGGGGUCUGAGAUCCAGGCAUGGCCAAGUCUGGGGAUC